GCAGGCGGUUUCUUAAGUCUGAUGUGAAAGCCCCCGGCUCAACCGGGGAGGGUCAUUGGAAACUGGGGAACUUGAGUGCAAAAAAGGAAAGUGAAUUUCCACGUGUAGCGGUGAAAUGCGUAAAGAUGUGGAGGAACACCAGUGGCAAAGGCGACUCUCUGGUCUGUAACUGACGCUAAGGCGCAAAAGCGUGGGGAGCGAACAGGAUUAGAUACCCUGGUAGUCCACGCCGUAAACGAUGAGUGCUAAGUGUUAGGGGGUUUCCGCCCUUUAGUGCUGCAGCAAACGCAUUAAGCACUCCGCCUGGGGAGUACGGUCGCAAGACUGAAACUCAAAGGAAUUGACGGGGGCCCGCACAAGCGGUGGAGCAUGUGGUUUAAUUCGAAGCAACGCGAAGAACCUUACCAGGUCUUGACAUCCUCUGACAACCCUAGAGAUAGGGCUUCCCCUUCGGGGGCAGAGUGACAGGUGGUGCAUGGUUGUCGUCACCUCGUGUCGUGAGAUGUUGGGUUAAGUCCCGCAACGAGCGCAACCCUUGAUUUUAGUUGCCAGCAUUCAGUUGGGCACUUUAAGGUGACUGCCGGUGACAAACCGGAGGAAGGUGGGGAUGACGUCAAAUCAUCAUGCCCCUUAUGACCUGGGCUACACACGUGCUACAAUGGGCAGAACAAAGGGCAGCGAAGCCGCGAGGCUAAGCCAAUCCCACAAAUCUG
rnacentral:rRNA from 1 species